rnacentral:rRNA from 1 species
UCCUCCCUCUUUCUUCGUGCUUAACACAUGCAAGUCGAACGGUAAGGCCCUGCUUUUGUGGGGUGCUCGAUUGGCGAACGGGUUAGUAACACGUUAGUAACCUGCUCUGUACUUUGGGAUAACUUCAGGAAACUGGGGCUGAUACCGGAUAGGAGCUCCUGUUGCAUGUUGGGGGGUGGAAAGUUUCGGCGGUUGGGGAUGGACUCGCGGCUUAUCAGCUUGUUGGUGGGGUAGUGGCUUACCAAGGCUUUGACGGGUAGCCGGCCUGAGAGGGUGACCGGCCACAUUGGGACUGAGAUACGGCCCAGACUCCUACGGGAGGCAGCAGUGGGGAAUAUUGCACAAUGGGCGGAAGCCUGAUGCAGCAACGCCGCGUGCGGGAUGACGGCCUUCGGGUUGUAAACCGCUUCCGCCUGUGACGAAGCGUGACUGACGGUAAUGGGUAAAGAAGCACCGGCUAACUACGUG